rnacentral:lncRNA from 1 species
UUCAGACAGCUCAGAGCCCGGUUGUUGGUCCAGCUGGCAGAGGACACCCACUCUGUCCCAUCCCGAACUGCCCGAUUGUCACAGCCCAAACUGCCCGACUGUCACAGCCCAAACUGCCCGAUUGUCACAGCCCAAACUGCCCGACUGUCACAGCCCAAACUGCCCGAUUGUCACAGCCCAAACUGCCCGACUGUCACAGCCCAAACUGCCCGAUUGUCACAGCCCAAACUGCCCGACUGUCACAGCCCAAACUGCCCGAUUGUCACAGCCCAAACUGCCCGACUGUCACAGCCCAAACUGCCCGAUUGUCACAGCCCAAACUGCCCGACUGUCACAGCCCAAACUGCCCGAUUGUCACAGCCCAAACUGCCCGACUGUCAGAGCCCGAACUGCCCGAUUGUCACAGCCCAAACUGCCCGACUGUCACAGCCCGAACUGCCCGACUGUCACAGCCCGAACUGCCCGGCUCUGCCCCAUUCCGAACCCCCCGGCUCUGUCCCAUCCUGGCUCUGUCCCCCGGCUCUGUCUGACCCUUCCGGCUCUGUCCCAUCCCGAACCGCCCGGCUCUGUCCCAUCUCAAACCUCGCUGCUCUCUCCGAACCGCCUGGCUCUGUCCCAUCCCGGCUCUGUCCCAUCCCGGCUCUGUCCCCCGGCUCUGUCCGAACCUCCCGGCUCCGUCCCAACCCGCAGCGGGCGGUGAUUGCGGUGCCGCCCGGGCCGGAGCCGAUGCUGGGCGCAUCCCCUCGGUGCAGGCGGGACCCUCCCGGGCUCUGUCCCCCGGCUCUGUCCCAUCCCGGCUCUGUCCCAUCCCGGCUCUGUCCCCCGGCUCUGUCCCCCGGCUCUGUCCCAUCCCGGCUCUGUCCCAUCCCGGCUCUGUCCCCCGGCUCUGUCCGAACCUCCCGGCUCCGUCCCAACCCGCAGCGGGCGGUGAUUGCGGUGCCGCCCGGGCCGGAGCCGAUGCUGGGCGCAUCCCCUCGGUGCAGGCGGGACCCUCCCGGGGUUCGGGGGUUCGGAAGGUGCCGGCACGACCCGCGCUAA